GGUUGGCAUGGUGUAGUGGUAUCAGCAUUGGAUUAUGAUUCUGAAGACCAGGGUUUGAAUCCCAGCUUGGCCA